rnacentral:tRNA from 1 species
ACAAUUUUAUUGCUUAACAGAAAGUUAGAAGCUUUCUAAUAAUAUUUCUUU